UCAAAGCUAAUUUUUUAAGUAUUAUAGUCAGGAAUCUUAGUCAUAUAAAGACAUUUUGUACAAUACUUAUUAAAAGCCCAGAUUCGUUGCUGUUUGUUUAGCACCCCCUUCAGAAUUGAUGGCUGAUGGUUUAUGCUUCUGAGAGCUUCCAGAACAAGACCAGAGAGAUUUUCUGAAUCCCCCUGUGGCUGUUUUUAAUUCCAUUACAGCUUGUCCUCGUGUAUUAACAAGGUAAUCUUGUCUUUCCCUUACUUUACUGCUCCGACCUUUCAGGGAAAAUGUGAUUUUAAAAUUGGACACCAUCCCAAGAUGAUGCCAGGAGGACAGAGGAUGUUAUUCUUGCAAGCAGCAUAGUUCCAAAGAGGCAACCCAAGGAAGUGUCAACAUUAGGCUCACAAUGACCGCCCCCCCCCCCCGCCGACCGCAGUGGCCCUCCUUUUGUGUGGCAGCAGAAUUAGAGCAGCGCUUCCAUGCAUCACCUCCUAACAUUCCUCCACCCACAAGAAAGGACACUGACUGCAUCAAGACCACUUUCUUAGAAGAAGAGCAGGACCUGUGGGCUACUCAGAAAGGACUUGUCAAUUUUAUGUGUUCGGAGACUGGAUCACAGAGUGCCC